UGCCCCUUGGCCCAGUUGGUGAAGGCGCACGACUGUUAUAGCAAUGUAGUGAGCAGUUUAUCGUGAGAUCGCAAGUUCGAACCUUGCAGGGGCAG